CCGUCUCUUACCUCGCUCGAUCUGCAUUCUUUUGCUCCCAUUGCUUGAUCUUGAGCUGGAUGCCUGCUUGACGCAGCGCAUGAGACCAGAAUAAAAAUUUCACCUGCCGAUCUUUGAGUACGAGUCCAUCUUUGCCGCGUGCGUGCGUGGUGGCUAUUGUAAUUUAUCCGGCGGGACAACU
rnacentral:snoRNA from 1 species